GUGUCAGCAGCCGCGGUAAUACGUAGGUGGCAAGCGUUAUCCGGAAUUAUUGGGCGUAAAGGGAGCGUAGGCGGCUUGAUAAGUCUGAGGUGAAAGUUCGGGGCUCAACUCCGGAUUGCCUUAGAAACUGUCAGGCUAGAGUGCAGGAGAGGGCAAUGGAAUUCCAUGUGUAGCGGUAAAAUGCGUAGAUAUAUGGAGGAACACCAGUGGCGAAGGCGGUUGCCUGGCCUGUAACUGACGCUGAGGCUCGAAAGCGUGGGGAGCAAAUAGGAUUAGAUACCCUCGUAGUCC
rnacentral:rRNA from 1 species